AGUUUCUAAGCCGUUUUUUUCACUUUCGUCAAAAGCUUCAAAUAUGUAAAUAGUUUUGGCCAAAUCACUUCUCUUUGCAAAGUCCAAAAUGUGUUGAGUGUAUACCCUAGCAUUUUCGAUAGUUGUACCUGGUCCUCCAUUUGAUGGCCACCCUGUUUCUCCAACAAUGAUAGGCACUAAGUUUGCUCCAAUCUUGUUAAGUGCAACACGACAUCCAGAUAGCAUUGCUUCAAAGAGCGAAUUUUCUUUUCCGAGCGCAAAGUUUAGAGAAAUUUUGUUGUCGCCAAUAUAAGCAAAAUAGGUGUAGAUAUUUAUGCUGAAUACUGAUCCAGUGUUUUUCAUUAUAGCAGUUACUUCUUUCAUUGUUUCAAUUAUAUCUGGAUGAAAUACUGUGCUGUCAAUAGGAUAAGUGUUGGUUAAAACAACAGCACUAAAUGGGAUUGUCACCUAAAUUAUUUGAAUAAAAACAGUUAACUAUAAGAUUUUAGUGAACAAUAUUAAAUAACUUGCAAAACCUUUUGUUGUAUCAACCAUCAGUUUUAUACAUUAAAAAGUUUGUUUUAUUAUUUA